CCUACGGGAGGCAGCAGUGGGGAAUAUUGGGCAAUGGAGGCAACUCUGACCCAGCAACGCCGCGUGAGCGAUGACGGUCUUCGGAUUGUAAAGCUCUGUCGCAGGGGACGAAGUAUGACGGUCCCCUGUAAGAAAGCCCCGGCUAACUACGUGCCAGCAGCCGCGGUAAUACGUAGGGGGCUAGCGUUGUCCGGAAUUACUGGGCGUAAAGGGAGUGUAGACGGCUUGUCAAGUUAAGUGUGAAAGCCUGCGGCUUAACCGUAGAAUUGCAAUUAAAACUGACUCGCUAGAGUGCAGGAGAGGUAGGUGGAAUGCGUAGUGUAGCGGUGGAAUGCGUAGAUAUUAGGAAGAACACCGAAGGCGAAGGCAGCUCACUGGACUGUAACUGACGUUGAGGCUCGAAAGCGUGGGGAGCAAACAGGAUUAGAUACCCCGGUAGUC
rnacentral:rRNA from 1 species